CUCUGGGGACUCUGUAUCAGGUCCUCCAGGUUCCUGCCCUGACUUCCUUCAGCGAUGGAUCGUUACCUGGAAACCUAAGAUACUUAAGAUGAAAUAAACCCUUUCCUCCCCAAGUCGCUUUGGCCAUUGUGUUUCACCACAGCAGUAGAGACCCUAAGGCAGCAGGUGUGUGCACAGGCACUCACACCACCUCCCAGAAGGCACAGUCUAUACUUACUCCACAUCCAUUUUCCUUACAAAGCCUAGACCGGGUCCCUGCAUGUUGUGACCAUGGAUACUCAUUUGAUAAAUGCACAGUUCUCUUUGCACACAUUUGCUUUGCUUACCAAGAUGGUUGUUGUCUAGCUCUUGGCAAGGUUACCCUGGCUGCUCUGACAGGCUUGUUCCCCUCUCUUUUCUUUUUUCCUUUUUCACUGUAACCCAGUAUGACCUCAAAUCACCACAUAAUCAAGAAUGACUUUGAACUUCAGGCCCUCUUACCUCCUCUUCCUGGGUACCCAAACUAUUGACCUGCACAACCACAUCCGUUUAUAGCACUGAGGAUGGAAGCCAGGGCUUUGUAGCCUGUGGCUAGAAGCCUCAAUGAUGGUCCCACAUCACAGCUCAAGCUUGGGAAGGGCGGCAGAAACAGGGCAGAAGUGCACUCCCACAGCGUCCCUCAGCAUCCCAUGUGUAUGGUGUUGUGCACAGUGUUUCCCAUCUUCCCGAUUAACAAGCAAAGCAAAGCAACAGCAGAAAGAGUUGGCUUGACGCUGAGGAGAUGUGGGCAACAUGUUUGCCUCCCAGCACAAGGACCUGAAUCUGAUUACCCAGGAUCCCAGGAAAAGCUCUAGAAACGCCUGGGCCUGGGAAGGAAGACAUGACCACUCCCAUUCCCAGUACUAGGACUUAACAAGACCCACGAGAUGAAGACAAUGGUGUGAACCAGUG
rnacentral:sRNA from 1 species